ACCCAGCUGACCAGACCCAAAUAGGACGAAACGCGCAUCCUGGAU
rfam:Schistosoma mansoni strain Puerto Rico chromosome 3, complete genome